rnacentral:misc_RNA from 1 species
GAUGAAGAACGCAGCGAAAUGCGAUAAGUAAUGUGAAUUGCAGAAUUCAGUGAAUCAUCGAAUCUUUGGACGCACAUUGCGCCCCCUGGUAUUCCGGGGGGCAUGCCUGUCCGAGCGUCAUUACAACCCUCAAGCUCAGCUUGGUGUUGGGCCCCGCCGCCCCGGCGGGCCCUAAAGUCAGUGGCGGUGCCGUCCGGCUCCGAGCGUAGUAAUUCUUCUCGCUCUGGAGGUCCGGUCGUGUGCUCGCCAGCAACCCCCAAUUUUUUUCAGGUUGACCUCGGAUCAGGUAGGGAUACCCGCUGAACUUAAGCAUAUCAAUAAGCGGAGGA